rnacentral:misc_RNA from 1 species
AAAUAGGUUCUUUUAUUUGGUACAAAAGCACAAGAGAGUCAUGAAAAUAGUAACUGGUACAUCCUUAUUACAUUGUACUGAAUAUAACAAAUACAUCUUUUCAAACAAACACAACACAGUCCAAGAAUUUUUUGACUCCCUUUGAUCACAAAUCUAAAAGACACACACAGAGAUGGUGCAGAUAACUUCAUGGUUCUCAAAAUUAGAUCGAUAAUUCAGUUUUUGAUACGAGAAUGCCAUCACUAUCUGCAUAUAACCACUCUCCUUCGCGAAUCAUCAUGCCUCCAAUGUAAAUAGGAACAUGCUUUUCGCCCUGUCCUUUCUUGUUUGAUUUCUGAGGGUGUGAUGCCAAUGCACGAACACCUAUAUCACAACCGUUAAUCUCAUCUACAUCACGAAUACAUCCAUUAACUAAAAUACCUGCCCAGCCCAUAUUCUGGGCUAGUUGUCCCAAGUUUCCUCCGACUAAAGCACAUCGCAUACUCCCUCCACCAUCUAUCACAAGAACUCUUCCUUCACCUCUAGUUUCGAGUAGCUCCCUAACCAACACAUUGUCCUCGAAUACCUUAAGGGUGGUAAUGGGGCCUGAAAAAGCGCGGCAUUGACCAUAUAUCUUGAAAACUGGUGGCAAAACUCGUAGAUCACCAUUUGACAGAUGCCCUGCAUUCACAUCACACACUUCUGCUGUUGCCAAGGACGCCAUGUAAAACUUUUUUUAUGAACUUUUAAUGGAAUUCAAGAAUGAAGCUUUUGAUGUUGAAAUUGUAAAUUUCGAAGUAGAUCUAAUUUAUAUAUUAUAUAUAAAUAAAAUCCAG